CAGACAGGGAGGGUGUGGUAUGGAUGUGUUGACCCCUGAAGUGGUUCUGAUGACCUUUCCCUAUCUCACUCUCCUCAG
ensembl:miRNA MIR6883 microRNA 6883